CACCUUACUUGUUCCCUCCCUCACAUCCAUGCACCCUCUUCGCACUACUCCCUCUUCCUUUUCCUUUGUUACAUAGUGGACCACACAGAACCCCUCCUUGACCUCAAAAGUAAGUGAUGAUGAUGGAGAGAAGAAGGAAAGAAGAGAGUGAUUCUGUAUAAGAGGCAGUGGGAAAUGCAGUGUACCCCUUGAACGAGGUCUUUUGAGAGGUAUCGAAGGACUAUCCGGGUUACACAGAAUUUCCUUUGGUGAACUGCUGCUUUCUCCAGGUCAUGGGUCUUGUUCUAAAUCCAUGUUUCACUGGGUAGAAGAUUUGCUUGAAUACUCAUGUGUAAGACUCAAGGAUUAAAUCUAGAGGUAUAUGAGCAGGUUAGUGAGCAGCUCUGCCUCACGGUGGAAGUCCUUGCGGGCAUUGUCGCUGGCAUCCUUCAGUGUCUGAUGGAGAGAAUGAAAAUGUAAAGGACAGAUGUUCACAGAAGAAAUACACACAGCCCAGUACAAGCAUCUCAGGACACCAGUCUGAGAAGCAGGACCUGAAAGAAACUUACAUUCAGAGACUGAGUCAUAUUCAAGCCUGGUGGGAGUGGGUAUAAAGACAAAUGAAGAGGAAUAUGUCUUCUUUGCUAAAGCAAGUUUGGCGAGGGAGUAGAAGUCUCCACUAUGUAUAGCCCCUUGCAACUGGUCUGCACAACAUGCAAGCCCAGGGUCUCUUGGCCUUUAGCAGACCAGAGCCAAUGCCAUGCCGUGUAUGUCUCCAUGGCCAUGGGUAGUGAGGCAUCAGUCACAGAUGUAGCCGGUCUGUCAAACGGAGGUAUGUUUAAAGUAGCAUCAGAGAGUGCCUUGGUUCCACCAUGGGCAACAAACCCAUACACCUGUUUCUGGGCAAAUCUUCCUUCAGAUACUUGUUUAAAUAAAGACUUUGUAAAUUCCCAAUAAAUCCCCUCCCACAUAUCAAUAAAACUUUAUUUUAGAGAAAAAGAAUGAACACAGAUACAUUAAUCAAAAGUUAACUACACAGUAUGUUGGCAUCUAAUGAAAAAGAAAGACCUGUACUCCUUUAGGAUAACAACAGCUUCCCACAUGGUCCAGUGUGGUGUCAAACCCCCUGUACCAACAGUGACAAAACAACAACAAAGGGUAUCUUUUAAAGCUGUGACCCAUGAGGAAGUUUAGGACAAGUUCAGUCUCUGCCAAUAUGUUUUCACUACCUAAAAGCAUCUUGGUUUUGACUUGAUAAUUACAGUCUGCUGAGCCAAGCAGCUGUCACUAAGGAACAGGAGCUGCCCAAAUGAAGCAAAAUGCAUAGAAGUUUACUGCUGAUUUAUCACACAAUAAUGAACCCAGUUACAGCCUUUUGAGGCAUGGAACUGAAAAACAAAAAGAGAGAGGGAAAAAAAAAAGAGGAAAGAGAGGAAGAAAGAGCUUUGAACAUUUUGUUCCAGUCAGUUUCCAAGAAUGAAGAAAACACCAGGCAUGAUUCAAUCAAAGGAUGCCCUCCCACAGUCCCGCUGUUGCUGGAGAAGUGGCCACUGGGCAGAUAACUGAGACACAUAUUUCUCAAAGCACACAGACCCAGUCUUUGCUGAGACAUGAACUCUUGCUGAUGGCAGCACAUAUACAUACCAGGGUAAACAAGAACAGCAGAAAUGGCUGAAUGAACUUUAUUCAGAAUCUGACAUACGAUGUCAGUAUAAUGAAUGUGACCUAAAGAAGAGUAUUACACUCACAAGCAGUCUGAGUUGGCAGCUCUGACCAAUUAGUACCAGUUAAUUUUACGUUGAUAGCUAGUACAUAUAUAGGAUAUUCUGUAAAAGCUUAAUAACUGUCACCAUAAAACA